UGGGGAAUAUUGCGCAAUGGGGGAAACCCUGACGCAGCGACGCCGUGUGAGGGAUGAAGGCUUUCGGGUCGUAAACCUCUGUCGGGAGGGAAGAACCUUCUAAGUCCUAAUAAGGCUUUGAACUGACGGUACCUCCAAAGGAAGCACCGGCUAACUCCGUGCCAGCAGCCGCGGUAAUACGGAGGGUGCAAGCGUUAAUCGGAAUCACUGGGCGGAAAGCGCGCGUAGGCGGUCUUUUACGUCGGACGUGAAAGCCCUCGGCUCAACCGGGGAACUGCGUUCGAAACUGGGAGACUUGAGUCCUGGAGAGGGUGGCGGAAUUCCGGGUGUAGGAGUGAAAUCCGUAGAUAUCCGGAGGAACACCGGUGGCGAAGGCGGCCACCUGGACAGGUACUGACGCUGAGGCGCGAAAGCGUGGGGAGCAAACA
rnacentral:rRNA from 1 species